CCGACCUUAGCUCAGUUGGAAGAGCGCAAGACUGUAAUGGAUAUAAUGACAUCUUGAUGUCGCCUGUUCGAGCCAGGCAGGUCGGA
rnacentral:tRNA from 1 species